GGGUGAGUCGGGUCCUAAGGCGAGGCCGACAGGCGUAGUCGAAUGGAUGAACGGGCUGAUAUUCCCGUACCGGCAGCGAACCGAAACAACCGAGGCCUGGGGCGCUAACCUCCGGGUCCGUGCCGUCUCCCCUUUCGGGGGGUCGCGGCGCGGGCGCGUUGGGAUCCCCCCUCGUAGUAGGUCAGCGCAGGAGUGACGCAUCAGGGCAGCCGGCCGCGGAGGUGGUUUUCCGUGGUCAAGCGUUCGAGCCCGUCCCGCAGGCAAAUCCGCGGGGCGUCGGGGCGAGGCGUGAUGAUGGGGGCCUUACGGCCCGAAUCCGGUGAUCCGUGGUGCCGAGAAAAGCUUCGGCGUCAGGCGCGUUGCCGCCCGUACCCCAAACCGACACUGGUGGUCAGGUAGAGAAUACCAAAGCGAUCGAGCGAAUCCUGGUCAAGGAACUCGGCAAAUUGCUCCCGUGCCUUCGGCAUAAGGGAGACCCCCUGCGGUGAUGAGCGGCGGGGGGUGGCACAGGCCAGGGGGUAGCGACUGUUUACCAAAAACACAGGAGCGUGCGAAGGCGCAAGCCGCUGUAUACGCUCUGACGCCUGCCCGGUGCCGGAAGGUUAAGAGGAUCCGUCAGCUUUCUGCGAAGCGGUGAAUUCAAGCCCCGGUAAACGGCGGUGGUAACUAUAACCAUCCUAAGGUAGCGAAAUUCCUUGUCGGGUAAGUUCCGACCUGCACGAAUGGCGUAACGACUUCCCCACUGUCUCGACCAGGAGCUCGGCGAAAUUGCAGUACGAGUAAAGAUGCUCGUUAAGCGCAGAAGGACGAAAAGACCCCGGGACCUUUACUAUACCUUGGUAUUGGCAUUAGGCGCGGAUUGUGUAGCAUAGGCGGGAGGCUUCGAAGCGUGGGCGCCAGCCCGUGUGGAGCCGCAAGGUGAAAUACCGCUCUGUUCUCGUUUGAUGUCUAACCUCGAACAGUCAUCCUGUUCAGGGACAGUGCCUGGCGGGUAGUUCAACUGGGGCGGUUGCCUCCCAAAGAGUAACGGAGGCGCUCAAAGGUCCGCUCGGCCCGGUUGGCAAUCGGGUGUCGAGUGUAAUCGCACAAGCGGGCUUGACUGCGAGAUCGACGGAUCGAGCAGGGACGAAAGUCGGAGAUAGUGAUCCGGUGCCGGCGCACGGGCGCGGCAUCGCUCAACGGAUAAAAGGUACCCCGGGGAUAACAGGCUGAUCAUUCCCAAGAGUCCAUAUCGACGGGAUGGUUUGGCACCUCGAUGUCGGCUCGUCGCAUCCUGGGGCUGGAGCAGGUCCCAAGGGUUCGGCUGUUCGCCGAUUAAAGCGGCACGCGAGCUGGGUUCAGAACGUCGUGAGACAGUUUGGUCUCUAUCCUCUGCGCUCGUUGGAAUCCUGAGGAGGCCUGCCCAUAGUACGAGAGGACCUGGGUGGACGAACCUCUGGUAUGCCGGUCGUCACGCCAGUGGCGCGGCCGGUUGGCUACGUUCGGAAGGGAUAACCGCUGAAAGCAUCUAAGCGGGAAGCCUUCUCCAAGAUAAGGAUUCCAUGCGGCCCCGAGCCGCUGAAGACCCCAUGCAGAACACGUGGUCGAUAGGCCGGACGUGGAAGCCCCGCGAGGGGUGGAGCCGACCGGUACUAAUGGUCGAGAGGCAACCCACA
rnacentral:rRNA from 1 species